UCCAGACUCCUACGGGAGGCAGCAGUGGGGAAUAUUGCACAAUGGGGGAAACCCUGAUGCAGCGACGCCGCGUGAGUGAAGAAGUAUUUCGGUAUGUAAAGCUCUAUCAGCAGGAACGAGACAAGACGGUACCUGACUAAGAAGCCCCGGCUAACUACGUGCCAGCAGCCGCGGUAAUACGUAGGGGGCAAGCGUUAUCCGGAAUCACUGGGUGUAAAGGGAGCGUAGACGGCUGUGCAAGCCUGAAGUGAAAGGCGGGGGCCCAACCCCUAGACUGCUUUGGGAACUGUACGGCUGGAGUGCAGGAGAGGUAAGUGGAAUUCCUAGUGUAGCGGUGAAAUGCGUAGAUAUUAGGAGGAACACCAGUGGCGAAAGCGGCUCUCUGGUCUGUAACUGACGCUGAGGUUCGAAAGCGUGGGUAGCAAACAGGAUUAGAUACCCGAGUAUC
rnacentral:rRNA from 1 species